UACGGGGGGGGCAAGCGUUGUUCGGAAUUACUGGGCGUAAAGGGCUCGUAGGUGGCCAACUAAGUCAGACGUGAAAUCCCUCGGCUUAACCGGGGAACUGCGUCUGAUACUGGAUGGCUUGAGUUUGGGAGAGGGACGCGGAAUUCCAGGUGUAGCGGUGAAAUGCGUAGAUAUCUGGAGGAACACCGGUGGCGAAGGCGGCGUGCUGGACCCGUCCUGACGCUGAGGCGCGAAAGCCAGGGGAGCGAACGGG
rnacentral:rRNA from 1 species